UGGGGAAUUUUGGGCAAUGGGCGAAAGCCUGACCCAGCAACGCCGCGUGAAGGAUGAAGUAUUUCGGUAUGUAAACUUCGAAAGAAUAGGAAGAAUAAAUGACGGUACUAUUUAUAAGGUCCGGCUAACUACGUGCCAGCAGCCGCGGUGAUACGUAGGGACCAAGCGUUGUUCGGAUUUACUGGGCGUAAAGGGCGCGUAGGCGGUGUGUCAAGUCAGUUGUGAAAUCUCCGAGCUUAACUCGGAACGGUCAACUGAUACUGUCACACUAGAGUGCAGAAGGGGCAAUCGGAAUUCUUGGUGUAGCGGUGAAAUGCGUAGAUAUCAAGAGGAACACCUGAGGUGAAGACGGGUUGCUGGGCUGACACUGACGCUGAGGCGCGAAAGCCAGGGGAGCAAACGGGAUUAGAUACCCAAGUAGUCCCUGAGCGGGCUGGCAAGGCGCAU
rnacentral:rRNA from 1 species